CCGUAACUAUAACGGUCCUAAGGUAGCGAAAUUCCUUGUCGGGUAAGUUCCGACCCGCACGAAUGGCGUAACGACUUGGGCACUGUCUCAACAAGGGACCCGGCGAAAUUGUAGUAUGUGUGAAGAUGCACAUUACCCGCGAUAGGACGGAAAGACCCCGUAGAGCUUUACUGUAGCCUGGUAUUGGAUUUUGGUAACGUAUGUACAGAAUAGGUGGGAGACGGAGAAGCGAGGACGCCAGUUCUCGUGGAGUCGCCUUUGGGAUACCACUCUUAUGUUACCGGGGUUCUAACGAGCGGCCGUGAACCGGCGUUCAGACAGUGCCAGGUGGGCAGUUUGACUGGGGCGGUCGCCUCCGAAAGAGUAACGGAGGCGUCCAAAGGUUCCCUCAGAAUGGUUGGAAACCAUUCAUAGAGUGCAAAGGCAGAAGGGAGCCUGACUGCGAGACCGACAGGUCGAGCAGGUACGAAAGUAGGGCUUAGUGAUCCGGCGGUAUGAGAGUGGAAUUGCCGUCGCUCAACGGAUAAAAGCUACCUCGGGGAUAACAGGCUGAUCUCCCCCAAGAGUCCACAUCGACGGGGAGGUUUGGCACCUCGAUGUCGGCUCAUCGCAUCCUGGGGCUGUAUUCGGUCCCAAGGGUUUGGCUGUUCGCCAAUUAAAGCGGCACGCGAGCUGGGUUCAGAACGUCGUGAGACAGUUCGGUCCCUAUCUGUUGCGGGCGUAAGAGAUUUGAAGGGAGCUGUCCUUAGUACGAGAGGACCGGGAUGGACGUACCUCUGGUGCACCAGUUGUCCUGCCAAGGGCAUAGCUGGGUAGCUAUGUACGGACGAGAUAAACGCUGAAAGCAUCUAAGCGUGAAACUCCCCCUAAGAUGAGAUCUCUCAUCCUUUAAGGAGUAAGGACCCAGAAAGACGAUCUGGUUGAUAGGCCGAAGGUGGAAGCGCAGUAAUGUGUGCAGCUGAUCGGUACUAAUAGUCCGAGGGCUUGACCU
rnacentral:rRNA from 1 species